rnacentral:rRNA from 1 species
UACAGAGGGGGCAAGCGUUGUUCGGAAUUACUGGGCGUAAAGGGCGCGUAGGCGGCCUUCUAAGUCGAACGUGAAAUCCCCGGGCUCAACCCGGGAACUGCGUCCGAUACUGGAAGGCUUGAAUCCGGGAGAGGGAUGCGGAAUUCCAGGUGUAGCGGUGAAAUGCGCAGAUAUCAGGAAGAACACCAAUGGCGAAGGCAGGUCUCUGGGCAUUAACUGACGCUGAGGAGCGAAAGCAUGGGGAGCGAACAGG